AAAAUCCGUCGACUUUAGAAAUCGUGAGGGUUCAAGUCCCUCUGGUUCAAGUCCCUCUAUCCCCA
rnacentral:tRNA from 1 species